AUGCUUCAGUGGUAAGCAUACUAAAAUUGGAACAAUAUACAGAAGGUCAGCAUGGCUUUUGGUUAGGAUAACAAGAAAGUUCAUGACACAUUCCAGAUUUUU
ensembl:snRNA U6 U6 spliceosomal RNA